UCGAGCGGCGGACGGGUGAGUAAUGCCUGGGAAUAUGCCUUGAUGUGGGGGAUAACUAUUGGAAACGAUAGCUAAUACCGCAUAAUGCCUUCGGGCCAAAGAGGGGGACCUUCGGGCCUCUCGCGUCAAGAUUAGCCCAGGUGGGAUUAGCUAGUUGGUGAGGUAAAGGCUCACCAAGGCGACGAUCCCUAGCUGGUCUGAGAGGAUGAUCAGCCACACUGGAACUGAGACACGGUCCAGACUCCUACGGGAGGCAGCAGUGGGGAAUAUUGCACAAUGGGCGCAAGCCUGAUGCAGCCAUGCCGCGUGUGUGAAGAAGGCCUUCGGGUUGUAAAGCACUUUCAGUCGUGAGGAAGGUAGUGUAGUUAAUAGCUGCAUUAUUUGACGUUAGCGACAGAAGAAGCACCGGCUAACUCCGUGCCAGCAGCCGCGGUAAUACGGAGGGUGCGAGCGUUAAUCGGAAUUACUGGGCGUAAAGCGCAUGCAGGUGGGUGAUUAAGUCAGAUGUGAAAGCCCGGGGCUCAACCUCGGAACAGCAUUUGAAACUGGUCACCUAGAGU
rnacentral:rRNA from 1 species